UAAAUCUAGGCUCUCGGGCCCGAGUUGUAAUUUGUAGAGGUGCUUUUGAUGCGGUGCCUUCCGAGUUCCCUGGAACGGGACGCCAUAGAGGGUGAGAGCCCCGUCUGGUUGGAUGCCAAAUCUCUGUAAAGCUCCUUCGACGAGUCGAGUAGUUUGGGAAUGCUGCUCUAAAUGGGAGGUAUAUGUCUUCUAAAGCUAAAUACCGGCCAGAGACCGAUAGCGCACAAGUAGAGUGAUCGAAAGAUGAAAAGCACUUUGAAAAGAGAGUUAAAAAGUACGUGAAAUUGUUGAAAGGGAAGCGUUUAUGACCAGACUUGGGCUUGGUUAAUCAUCUGGGGUUCUCCCCAGUGCACUUUUCCAGUCCAGGCCAGCAUCAGUUUUCGCCGGGGGAUAAAGGCUUCGGGAAUGUGGCUCUCUCCGGGGAGUGUUAUAGCCCGUUGCGUAAUACCCUGGCGGGGACUGAGGUUCGCGCAUCUGCAAGGAUGCUGGCGUAAUGGUCAUCAACGACCCGUCUUG
rnacentral:rRNA from 1 species